AGAGUUUGAUCCUGGCUCAGAAUGAACGGCGGCGUGGAUUAGGCAUGCAAGUCGAACGGGCCUGGUAGCAAUAUCAGGUCAGUGGCGUAAGGGUGAGUAAGGCGACGGAACCAACCCCAUGGUUGGGCAUAGCCGCGGGAAACUGCGGGUAAUUCCCAGCGAUGUUCGUACCGGGCAUCCGGUAUGAACCAAAGUUUUGGCGCCGUGGGACGGGCCGUCGUGGUAUUAGGUCGUUGGCGGGGUAAUGGCCCACCAAGCCUCUGAUGCCUACCGGGCGUGCGAGCGUGGCCCGGCACACUGGGACUGAGACACUGCCCAGACUCCUACGGGAGGCUGCAGUCGAGAAUCUUCGGCAAUGGGCGCAAGCCUGACCGAGCGACGCCGCGUGGAGGAUGAAGGCCUUCGGGUUGUAAACUCCUGUCGAGGGGGGGGAAGGCGCAAGCUUGACCUAUCCCUGGAGGAAGCACGGGCUAAGUUCGUGCCAGCAGCCGCGGUAAGACGAACCGUGCGAACGUUAUUCGGAAUCACUGGGCUUAAAGCGCGUGUAGGCGGAUGGGGACGUCGGUAGCUGAAAUCCCCCGGCUCAACCGGGGAACGGGCGCCGAAACGCCCCGUCUGGAGGGACGUAGGGGGACCUGGAACUUCCGGUGGAGCGGUGAAAUGCGUUGAGAUCGGAAGGAACGCCCGUGGCGAAAGCGAGGUCCUGGACGUUUUCUGACGCUGAGACGCGAAAGCUAGGGUAGCGAACGGGAUUAGAUACCCCCGUAGUCC
rnacentral:rRNA from 1 species